AGCAUGAAGUCAGACAAGUGAACCCGCUGAAUUUAAGCAUAUCAAUAAGCGGAGGAAA
rnacentral:rRNA from 1 species